rnacentral:rRNA from 1 species
AUUGAACGCUGGCGGCAGGCCUAACACAUGCAAGUCGAGCGGAUGAAGAGAGCUUGCUCUCUGAUUUAGCGGCGGACGGGUGAGUAAUGCCUAGGAAUCUGCCUGGUAGUGGGGGAUAACGUCCGGAAACGGGCGCUAAUACCACAUACGUCCUACGGGAGAAAGCAGGGGACCUUCGGGCCUUGCGCUAUCAGAUGAGCCUAGGUCGGAUUAGCUAGUUGGUGAGGUAAUGGCUCACCAAGGCGACGAUCCGUAACUGGUCUGAGAGGAUGAUCAGUCACACUUGAACUGAGACACGGUCCAGACGCCUACGGGAGGCAGCAGUGGGGAAUAUUGGACAAUGGGCGAAAGCCUGAUCCAGCCGUGCCGCGUGUGUGAAGAAGGUCUUCGGAUUGUAAAGCACUUUAAGUUGGGAGGAAGGGCAGUAAGUUAAUACCUUGCUGUUUUGACGUUACCGACAGAAUAAGCACCGGCUAACUUCGUGCCAGCAGCCGCCGUAAAAC